UCAGACGAUGCGUCAUGCAUAUCAAUAAGCGGAGGAAAAGAAACUAACAAGGAUUCCCCUAGUAACGGCGAGUGAAGCGGGAAGAGCUCAAAUUUGAAAUCUUAAAGGGUUUCCCUUUACGAAUUGUAGUUUAAAGAAGUGUUUUCUGUUGAGGUUUUGGUAAAAGUUCUUUGGAAUAGGACAUCAUAGAGGGUGAGAAUCCCGUAUUUGACCUUUACUUUCAACUUUGUGAUACACUUUCAAAGAGUCGGAUUGUUUGGGAAUGCAGUCCAAAAUGGGUGGUAAAUUUCAUCUAAAGCUAAAUAUUGGCGAGAGACCGAUAGCGAACAAGUACCGUGAGGGAAAGAUGAAAAGAACUUUGAAAAGAGAGUUAAACAGUACGUGAAAUUGUCAAAAGGGAAGCGUUUGACACCAGUGUUGUUUUUCUGAAAAUCAAUUAAAGAACUGUUUAUGCUAAGUUGUUUAGACUUUAUCAGCUAACUGUUUAGUUUUGAGCUUUUCUUUAAUGCACUUUUCAGUUAACAAGUCAACAUCCAAUUUCUUUUGCUGUAAAAAAGCUUGAGGAAGGUGGCUUGAGAUUCGUCUUAAGUGUUUAUAGCCUCUUGCCUAUGCAGUCGGAGAGAUUGAGGUCUGCAGCGUAGAUCCUUCGGGGCUAAAUGCAUUUGUGCUAAGUUAUAGCAUUUUAUAGACAACUUGUUGACUAUGAUUUGUCUUGUAGCUUACUCGCUUAUGUUAUUUUACCUACGCUUAGGAUGUUGAGCGCAUGUCUCUCUCU
rnacentral:rRNA from 1 species